rnacentral:rRNA from 1 species
GACGAACGCUGGCGGCGUGCUUAACACAUGCAAGUCGAACGGAAAGGCCCUGCUUGCAGAGUACUCGAGUGGCGAACGGGUGAGUAACACGUGGGUGAUCUGCCCUGCACUUCGGGAUAAGCUUGGGAAACUGGGUCUAAUACCGGAUAGGAACCAUCUUUAGUGUGGUGGUUGGAAAGUUUUUUCGGUGUAGGAUGAGCUCGCGGCCUAUCAGCUUGUUGGUGGGGUAAUGGCCUACCAAGGCGGCGACGGGUAGCCGGCCUGAGAGGGUGUACGGCCACAUUGGGACUGAGAUACGGCCCAGACUCCUACGGGAGGCAGCAGUGGGGAAUAUUGCACAAUGGGCGCAAGCCUGAUGCAGCGACGCCGCGUGGGGGAUGAAGGCCUUCGGGUUGUAAACUCCUUUCGCUAGGGACGAAGCUUUUUGUGACGGUACCUAGAGAAGAAGCACCGGCUAACUACGUG